UUCCAGGCAGUACCAGCUAAUACUGUUGUUCUGACAACUGUCCCUGCUAAUCAACCAAUUGUUGGCUACCAACCUCAAACAGGCUACCCACCCCAAUCCCAAAAGCCUGAAGGAGAGAUUCCCCCAGAGUAUAAAUUGGCAAG